rnacentral:misc_RNA from 1 species
AACGCACCUUGCACUCCUUGGUAUUCCGAGGAGUAUGCCUGUUUGAGUGUCAUGAAUUUCUCAACCUUUCCACGCUGGUGGUUAGGCUUGGAUUAUGGGAGUUUUUGUCGGCUUGCAAUGGUCGGCUCUCCUAAAAUACAUUAGCAACAUCAUAGCUGGAUCAACUUUGGUAUGAUAAUUAAUCUGUAUCAAUGGUUGAGACAGACAACAGGAUAUUGCUUCCAAUUGGUCUCACUCUUGAGAUAGCACUUGAUAAUUUUGACCUCAAAUCAGGUAGGACUACCCGCUGAACUUAA